AUGCUUCCUCCCUGCUGCUCCUCCUCCUCCGAGCCCAUCCUUUCAUCUCUGUCGCGAUGCCGUCUUCACCACCAUACCCGUGCCAUGGCUCGAUCUGCUGCUCCCAAGCGCAGCCACCUCGUCCCCAACCCCGAGCUUCUUCUCCCCUACCCUCUUUUCCUCGUCAUCUUCGUGUUUCCUUCUCUUUUUCUCCCGUUUACUCACAUCUCCCUCUAUCUCUCUUGCUCUCUAUUACAGGGAGGCCGCCAUGGACGCCCGAGGUCCUCCGCUUCGAGCCUCCGACCCACACCCCAGUGGCCCUGCCGACGUCGUCGCCUAGGUGAGCAGCUGCUGCACCGUGACGUUACCCCGAAGACCACCAUGCCCGCUGCAGAAGCUUCGAGCCGACCCUGCAGCAUGUAG
rnacentral:rRNA from 1 species